ensembl:miRNA MIR218-2 microRNA 218-2
GGGCUUUCCUUUGUGCUUGAUCUAACCAUGUGGUGGAACGAUGGAAACGGAACAUGGUUCUGUCAAGCACCGCGGAAAGCUCCG